GGGGAUAUAGCUCAGUUGGUAGAGUGCUUGUCUAGCAUGCAUAAGGCCCUGGGUUCAGUUCUCAGUACCACCA
rnacentral:tRNA from 1 species